GCCCUUGUGCCAGCCGCCGCGGGUAAAACGUAGGACACAAGCGUUAUCCGGAUUUACUGGGCGUAAAGAGCGUUGAGGCGGUUCCGUAAGUUGGACGUGAAAGCCCUAGGCUCAACUGAGGGACGUCGUUCAAUACUGCGGGACUUGAGGGCAGCAGAGGGAGGUGGAAUUCUCUAGUGUAGCGGGUGAAAUGCGUAGAUAUUAGGAGGAACACCAGUGGCGAAGGCGACCUCCUGGGCUGCUCCUGACGCUGAAGGCGAAGGCUAGGGUAGCAAACGGGAUUAGAAACCCCGGUAGUCCUAGCAGUAAACGAUGGAUGCUGGGUGUGGGGAGGUAUAGAUUCCUCCCGUGCCGAAGCUAACGCGUUAAGCAUCCCGCCUGAGGAUUACGGCCGCAAGGCUAAAACUCAAACGAAUUGACGGGGACCCGCACAAGCAGCGGAGCGUGUGGUUUAAUUCGAUGCUACACGAAGAACCUUACCUGGGUUUACAUGCAAGUAGUAGUGAAGCGAAAGCUGAUCGACCUUCGGGGAGCUUGCACAGGUGCUGCAUGGCUGUCGUCAGCUCGUGCCGUGAGGUGUCGGGUUAAGUCCCGUAACGAGCGCAACCCUUGUCCUUAGUUACAAGUGUCUAAGGAGACUGCCCGGGACAACUGGGAGGAAGGUGGGGAUGACGUCAAGUCAGCAUGGCCUAUAUGUCCAGGGCUACACACACGCUACAAUGGCCGGUACAAUGGGUCGCCAAACCGUAAGGUGGAGCCAAUCCCGUAAAGCCGGUCCAAGUUCGGAUUGUGGGCUGCAACUCGCCCACAUGAAGCUGGAGUUGCUAGUAACCGUGGGUCAGCUAUACUACGGUGAAUACGUUCCCG
rnacentral:rRNA from 1 species